GGAGGGUGCGAGCGUUAAUCGGAAUUACUGGGCGUAAAGCGCGCGCAGGCGGCUGGGUCAGUCGGAUGUGAAAGCCCCGGGCUUAACCUGGGAAUUGCAUUCGAUACUGCCCGGCUAGAGUAUGGGAGAGGGAAGUGGAAUUUCCGGUGAAGCGGUGUAAUGCGUAGAUAUCGGAAGGAACACCAGUGGCGAAGGCGGCUUCCUGGCCCAAUACUGACGCUCAGGUGCGAAAGCGUGGGGAGCGAACAGGGAUUAGAUACCCUGGUAGUCCACGCUGUAAACGAUGAGAACUAGAUGUUGGGAGGGUUAGCCUCUCAGUGUCGCAGCUAACGCGUUAAGUUCUCCGCCUGGGGAUACGACCGCAAGGUUG
rnacentral:rRNA from 1 species